rnacentral:rRNA from 1 species
UACGUAGGGUGCGAGCGUUGUCCGGAAUUAUUGGGCGUAAAGGGCUCGUAGGCGGUUUGUCGCGUCGGGAGUGAAAACCCAGGGCUUAACCCUGGGCUGGCUUUCGAUACGGGCAGACUAGAGGUAUGCAGGGGAGAACGGAAUUCCUGGUGUAGCGGUGAAAUGCGCAGAUAUCAGGAGGAACACCGGUGGCGAAGGCGGGUCUCUGGGCCGUAACUGACGCUGAGGAGCGAAAGCAUGGGGAGCGAACAGG